CAAGAAUGAUUAAUGAACGAUGUGUGUUUGUCCCUAGCAGAUGCUUGUAGGGAAGGAGGAUUUGACCCUCACUGAGUGAAGGAGUUGCUGAUUUAGUCAAGUCAAGAACAGGAUGCGACGCUUUGGUCUAGUGCAUUGACAUUUGCAUCUCUGAGUGAGAAUGCUUAUUUUCAUUGGAGGAACAGCAAGACUGCCUUUUGAAACAUUUAAAGGGGCUUAUGGUAUUACUGCAAAACACUCUGGACAUGCACAGCAUGAAGAAACAAGUCGGAAGGUACAUUUAGAUGCACCAGACUCAAAUCAGAUAAACUCACAGGAUUCACGUGGCCUCUGACACCAGGUGAUUGCAAAUGAGAGUCAGAAACUGUGUAGCUGUGAGGCCUUGAUUGGAGGGAGCAAGUCCACUGAAGGGGAGCACGCAGAGAAAAGCAGGCGUGUGAAGAGGCUGCUUGCUGGCACAGCAGACCACAGCAUUUGCUACGGCGGUCGUAGAUCAGGCUGCUCACGGAAAGGGGCCCUUGUCUGAAGAUUCCCACUCCAGUCCCAUUGACUUUAUGGAUAGUCCUCGGGAUCUUGUCUGAGCACAUCCAAAUGUUUGUACAGCACCUGAUGCAAACAGGCCGUCGUCCUGCUUCAUUUGUCAAAUGAUAAAUAACAUAAUAAUGCUGUAAUUGGAGUCAUUCAUACAGACAGUAAUCAUCUGGUGAUUCAGUACAGCACAGACUUGUGAGGUGGAAGGCUGCGCUAAGCUUAUGCAGAGACUUCUAUCUUGCUCAUCAGUUUCUGCACGCUAAAUAUAUUCUGAAUUUACGAAUGCUGAAGUUUUAAGGUGAGAUUUUCUAUGCUUGGGCUCAACCCAAAAAUGAUUCAUUUCCGUAAUGCCGGAAUAAAACUGUUCAGG
rnacentral:lncRNA from 1 species